CACACUCCUUGGUAUUUACGCCAAGGAAUUGAAACUAUGUCCACACAAAAACCUGCACACAGAUGUCUCUAGUAACAUUAUUCAUAGUUGUCGAGACUUGGAAGCAACCAAGAUGUCCAAUAGGUGAACGGAUAAAUAAACUGGUGCAUCCAAACUGCAUGAGCUGUCCAGCCAUAGAAAGGACAUGGAGAAAGCUUACCUUACAUGCACAUUACCAUAUGUAGGAAGCCAAUCUGAAAGGAGCGUGCAGGAAACAUGCUGAGACAAAGUAACGCCUGUAACGAUAAAAGAGGAAGCAAGACUGGGCAGGAUAAUGGUGCUGGCUCGGGCUCUGCAGGCAGAAAGGGCAAAUCCAUAUGGAAAACGUUAUCUCUUGUGAGAAUAAACCACUGGCCCUUUCAGGAUGAAAAGGGCUCCAAUGGAAUCAACUUGCCACCAAGUACCUGAUGGGUUUCUUCAAGGGAUCGUGCCACAUUGGGGCUCAGCCUUUGUCUGUUGCCAGCAGGAUGGAUGUGCAGAAGUGGCAGUGGCUAGAUUGGCCUUGGCUGCACGUGAAUUAGCAACGCCACCAGUGUGCUACGUGCUCCUGCUAAUUCUGCCUGAUCAGCAGGACGCCAUCAGUUUAAUAGAUGCAUGUGACAUUCCACAGGACGGUCAGAAGGUCCAAGUCUCUUCAGAGAGCGGAACCAGUAACAGAGCCCCGAGGCAAAACUCUAAAUGCACCUGGUUUCUGAUAUUCUUUUUUGAUUGAGAUAGAAAAAAACAUAUUCACCGGAUCAAUGGCUGGAUACCAUGUUCCAGGGACCGUAGAAUCUGUUCUAGCAAAAGAGAUGCCACAUGGGCCCAGCAGCUGCUGUGGGAGCCACUACUUGACUGAGCUGUCAGUUGUCCACAGCCAUUUUUUCCAGAAUCCACCCAGACUGGUGAAUUCAAUGGAGAAUUGAUGGGGACCCAGCCCGGUUUCCUGAAAUCCUUCAGGGUGACACUCACCUUCACGGUCUCCUCCAAGUUGCGAUUUUGUUUUUGAUCUGCUGUCUCUGCGAGAGAAGGAGUUCGAGCUGUUUGGAAAAACCUGGGACCCUGACACUUGGGAAGGGAAUAUCUGGGUGGAUACCCAUAAAGAUUUCGACUCUUCUUUUAACUAUUAA